GUGCAAACGCAAAGAGAAAAAAGCAGAAGCGUCUAUGGUUAUCUUUAAACGAGAAAACAUUGCUUUAGACAUCUCAGACAACUCAGAAACGAUAAACCACGAUGAAUCGCAAAGUUCUUUUUCUUAUGCUGCUUCUCGUCGCUGUUCAGGUGGACUCUUCAUCCGCUCGUCGUCGAAGGAUGUGGAUCAUUUGGGACGAACAACCUAAUGAAGAAAAUACAUUUGAUAUUCUCACCCAGUUGAUAGAGGACCACCCCUCAAUACCAAGCAAUUAUGUCGAAUAAAAUGCAUUGGCAGUUGUACGAACUUGCAACAAAUAAACAAAGAAUCAAACAC